AUUGAACGCUGGCGGCAGGCCUAACACAUGCAAGUCGAACGAGUGGCGGACGGGUGAGUAAUGUCUUGGAAACUGCCUGAUGGAGCGGGAUAACUACUGGAAACGGUAGCUAAUACCGCAUACCAUCGGAUGUGCCCAGAUUGGAUUAGCUAGUAGGUGGGGUAAAGGCUCACCUAGGCGACGAUCCCUAGCUGGUCUGAGAGGAUGACCAGCCACACUGGAACUGAGACACGGUCCAGACGCCUACGGGAGGCAGCAGUGGGGAAUAUUGCACAAUGGGCGCAAGCCUGAUGGAGCCAUGCCGCGUGUGUGAAGAAGGCCUUCGGGUUGUAAAGUACUUUCAGCGGGGAGGCGGUACCCGCAGAAGAAGCAACGGCUAACUCCGUGCCAGCAGCCGCGGUAAUUC
rnacentral:rRNA from 1 species